rnacentral:rRNA from 1 species
GUCCUUUAGGUAAUUAUAAUUUAAGGUCUAACCUGCCCAUUGAUAAGUUAAAAGGCCGCAGUAAUUUGACUGUGCAAAGGUAGCAUAAUCAUUAGUUUUUUAAUUAAAAGCUUGUAUGAAUGGUUGGACGAGAUAAAAUCUGUCUCUUUAUAAAAAAUAGAAUUUAAUUUUUAAGUUAAAAAGCUUAAAUUUAUAUAAAAGACGAGAAGACCCUAUAGAUCUUUAUAUAAUUUUAUAUAGUAUUAAUAAAGUUAAUUUAAUUUACUAUAAUAAAUUAUAUUUUAUUGGGGUAAUAAAAAGAUUAAUAUAAUUCUUUUUUUUGAUACAAUAAUUAUUGAUUUUAUGAUCCAUUAUUAAUGAUUAUAUGAUUAAGUUACCUUAGGGAUAACAGCGUAAUUUUUUUAGAGAGUUCUUAUCAAUAAAAAAGUUUGCGA